UGGGGAAUAUUGGACAAUGGGCGAAAGCCUGAUCCAGCCAUGCCGCGUGAGUGACGAAGGCCUUAGGGUUGUAAAACUCUUUCGUCGGGGACGAUAAUGACGGUACCCGAAGAAGAAGCUCCGGCUAACUUCGUGCCAGCAGCCGCGGUAAUACGAAGGGAGCUAGCGUUGUUCGGAAUCACUGGGCGUAAAGCGCACGUAGGCGGAUAGUUAAGUCAGGGGUGAAAUCCUGGGGCUCAACCCCAGAACUGCCUUUGAUACUGGCUGUCUCGAGGUCGAGAGAGGUUGGUGGAAUUCCUAGUGUAGAGGUGAAAUUCGUAGAUAUUAGGAAGAACACCAGUGGCGAAGGCGGCCAACUGGCUCGAUACUGACGCUGAGGUGCGAAAGCGUGGGGAGCAAACGGGAUUAGAUACCCCAGUAGUCCCUGAGCGGGCUGGCAAGGCGCAU
rnacentral:rRNA from 1 species